UGAGUAAAGGUGCUCCCAGACAGUAGUUAUAUAACGUUAGAUAACAUUUUUUUAAGAAUUUUUUUGA